UCAGGCCUAACACAUGCAAGUCGUACGAGAGUUUUUAACUCUAGUGGCGGACGGGUGAGUAACACGUGAGAAUUUGCCUUUAGGAGGGGGAUAACAAUUGGAAACGAAUGCUAAUACCCCAUAUGCUUUCGAGUGAAAUGGAUUUAUAUUUAUCCGCCUAGAGAGAAGCUCGCGGCUGAUUAGCUUGUUGGUAAGGUAAGAGCUUACCAAGGCGACGAUCAGUAUCUGGUUUGAGAGGACGAUCAGACACACUGGAACUGAGACACGGUCCAGACUCCUACGGGAGGCAGCAGUGGGGAAUUUUCCGCAAUGGGCGAAAGCCUGACGGAGCAAUACCGCGUGAGGGAAGACUGCCUAUGGGUUGUAAACCUCUUUUUUCAGGGAGGAAUCAAUGACGUGUACCUGAAGAAUAAGCAUCGGCUAACUCCGUGCCAGCAGCCGCGGUAAGACGGAGGAUGCAAGUGUUAUCCGGAAUCACUGGGCGUAAAGCGUCUGUAGGUGGUUUAAUAAGUCAACUGUUAAAUCUUGAGGCUCAACUUCAAAAUCGCAGUCGAAACUAUUAGACUAGAGUAUAGUAGAGGUAAAGGGAAUUUCCAGUGGAGCGGUGAAAUGCGUAGAUAUUGGAAAGAACACCGAUGGCGAAAGCACUUUACUGGGCUAUUACUAACACUCAGAGACGAAAGCUAGGGUAGCAAAUGGG
rnacentral:rRNA from 1 species